GGAGGCCGGUCAGGCCGCGCCAUCUCCACAGCAGCCUCCCCACCAGCUCUAAAAGAGGUGCUCCCAGAGGCCCGCGCCUCAGGUUUUAUCUUAUGAAACACACACUGGUCUUACUUUUGAUUUAUCAUAAUAGCAACAGCUGCCUUUUUUCUUUUUUUAACCGCAUCGCUUUUUUCCAAAGCACGUUCGCGUUUGCUACCUGAUGGACGUCAGUUCAGUCAGUUCAGUUCACUCGCUCAGUCGUGUCAGACGUCAGGCCACUAAUAAUUUUCCCAUUUUGCCCUUAAGGGAUUAAGACCAUUGCAGUUUGACUAAGGUCGCAGAGAAAGUAAGCAGUAGAGUUGAAAUCCACAUCAGCCUUCUAUGGGAGCCAUGCCCCAACUCUCCACACGCCCAGAUGAAGAAGAAGGGAAAAGAGAUUUGAUUUCUGUUGCUAUUAACCAUGCCAAUAGAAGGUUGUGUGAAAAAUGAAGCUAUUGGUAGAAGUUAGGAAAAAAAUAUAGUUAUAAGACCAGCAGAAGACCUGAACUUCAGAGAAGACCACAAAUGAAUUGAAUUAAAAGCACAGUUCUCUUUUCAAAAGCUAACACGAAAUGAGGAUGGGUUUUGUACAAAAGCAGCUGCUCCUGCCAGUGAGCUUAUGUAUGUCCUUCUUUCAAAUGCCACAGUCAGACCUAGGAAAUUCCCUGGGAAGUCCCCUCUACCACAGUACUUGCAGUUUCUCCAUUUGACUAUGAUUCUGUUGGAUCUUGGGAGAUUGAUCUUCAGGAAGCUGUUAUCACAAAACAGCUCUUCCUGGAGUGAGGAGAGAGCAUGGUACCUGGGAAGACAAAGGGAGUGGACUGGGACAGGGGAAUCUGGUUCCCAUUUUAGUUCUACAACUAGCAGCCUGGUGGCUUUAGGAGAAGCCUGCCAUUUCCCUGGCCUCAGUGGUUUCAUCUGUAAAUUGGAACAGCCUGGAGAUGAUAAAAGUGAAAGCAUCCAUCCCCAUGCCUGGAAGUGCUCAAGAAAUGAUUCUUUCCUGCCUGCUGACUUCCAUUUUCCAUCUGUAAGGGCUUCCCAGUUUGCACCAGCCCUGAUGAUCCCCAGGCCACUGAGGAAGGGCCACACAGUACACCAGCCAGUCAAUGUCUGCCAGAUAUGUUUCUCGAGUGCCACUAAAACCUCUUCUGAA